rnacentral:lncRNA from 1 species
GAUAAUUUGGAAAGUGAAAUUUUUAUGGAGGUUCAGGAAGAAAAACAGGAGGAGGGGCAGGAAGAGGCAGUUCAAAUUGAUUAUUUUCUUGGGUCAUAAGUGUACGGCCCAAGUUGUUACAUGCCCUAAAAUUUGGAGGGCGUUGAUCCUGCACUUCCCCAAUUUCAUCUUUCACCUUUCCAAUUUUUUUUUAACUUUUCAUUAAUUACAAAACUAACUUUUUUUUUUAUUUUUUAUUUUUACUUUUUUAACCCUCUUAAUCAACUAACCCUAAUUUUUACUUUACUUUCUACUUCAGCUCUCAUUUUUACAGACUUUCGAAACUUUCGAAAACAGCCC